rnacentral:rRNA from 1 species
UGCGAAUCUCGAAAGACCUGUCUCAGUUCGGAUUGGAGGCUGAAACCCGCCUCCAUGAAGUUGGAUUCGCUAGUAAUCGCGCAUCAGCCAUGGCGCGGUGAAUACGUUCCCGGGCCUUGUACACACCGCCCGUCACACCACGAAAGUUGGUAACACCCGAAGCCGGUGGCCUAACCCUUAGGGGAGGGAGCUGUCGAAGGUGGGACUGAUGAUUGGGGUGAAGUCGUAACAAGGUACC